UUAGCUCGUAUUUGCAUAGAAUGGGAACGUUUGCCUGCGUUUGCCGCUAGGGGCGCUGUUCUAACUGCAUACAAAUUUGAGUUA
rnacentral:pre_miRNA from 1 species